GAUGAAGAACGUAGCGAAAUGCGAUAAGUAAUGUGAAUUGCAGAAUUCAGUGAAUCAUCGAAUCUUUGAACGCACAUUGCGCCCGUUAGCAUUCUAGCGGGCAUGCCUGUCCGAGCGUCAUUUCAACCCUCAGGGUCCCCGUUCCGGCGGGGAACCUGGUGUUGGGGAUCGCCCCGCCCCGUGCGGCGCCGUCCCCCAAAUUCAGUGGCGGUCUCGCUGCAGCCUCCCCUGCGUAGUAGUUACAACCUCGCAUCGGAGCUCAGCGCGGCCACGCCGUAAAACCCCCGACUUUCUGAACGUUGACCUCGGAUCAGGUAGGAAUACCCGCUGAACUUAAGCAUAUCAAUAAGCGGAGGA
rnacentral:misc_RNA from 1 species